rnacentral:ncRNA from 1 species
GUAUUACAUGGUGAUGGGGUACCACCAGAAACCGCCUAAAGCAAAGGCUGAUGACUCCUACAUGAAG